rnacentral:rRNA from 1 species
CCGAUGAAUGUGUGAUCAUUAAUUGACCAGUGUGAACUGUCCAACAAAUCUUUAGGGGUCGGCACAGGUAGAAGUGGUCGUUAAAUGGUGGAUAUUCCUUCCAGCAGCCCCGCCAUUGUGUGUUACUAUGCAUAUUGAACGUAAAAGACUGAGAGAACGUAUCUUCAUGAUCACCAUGAAAGGAAAAACUUUUCAAGAAAGAGACAAACAACUUUUGACGGUGGAUCUCUUGGCUCACGUAUCGAUGAAGAACGCAGCCAGCUGCGGUAUGUAGUGUGAAUUGCAGAAUUCAGUGAAUCAUUGAAUCUUUGAACGCAAAUGGCGCUCUUGGGUUCUCCCAGGAGCAUGUCUGUCUGAGUGUCGGAUUUUAUCGAACGCACACUCACUCGUGAGUGUGCGGUAUUGAGGUGUCACGGCGUGAAGAAUCAGUGUACUAAUGAUCGCCGUGUCCCUUGAAGAGCAGCAGCAGCAGCAUUCUCUAUUGAAACUUGAGUGCGAAGGCUAAAGAUAUUGCUAUUUUCCUUCGCUGCAGGUUGGCUUAGGGUUGUUGGGUUGCUGAAAAGAGAAAGAAAGAAAGAAAGAAAUCCAAUCAAUCUUGACCUCAGAUCAGGCAAGGCUACCCGCUGAAUUUAA